rnacentral:misc_RNA from 1 species
GAAAUGCGAUAAGUAAUGUGAAUUGCAGAAUUCAGUGAAUCAUCGAAUCUUUGAACGCACCUUGCGCCUUUUGGUAUUCCGAAAGGCAUGCCUGUUUGAGUGUCAUGAAAUCUCAAUCCCCCUGGGUUUAUGAUCCGGGCUGGGACUUGGACUUGGACGUUGCCGGUUACACGGCUCGCCUCAAAUGACUUAGUGGAUCUCUCUGCAUCCGUGACAGACGUAAUAAGUUUCGUCUCGUCCCUUGCUGUCUGAGUCUGCUCCUAACCUGCCAUUGUGCACUUUUAGACUCUGACCUCAAAUCAGGUAGGACUACCCGCUGAACUUAA